rnacentral:rRNA from 1 species
GACGAACGCUGGCGGCGUGCUUAACACAUGCAAGUCGAACGGAAAGGCCCUGCUUUUGUGGGGUGCUCGAGUGGCGAACGGGUGAGUAACACGUGAGUAACCUGCCCUUGACUUUGGGAUAACUUCAGGAAACUGGGGCUAAUACCGGAUAGGAGCUCCUGCUGCAUGGUGGGGGUUGGAAAGUUUCGGCGGUUGGGGAUGGACUCGCGGCUUAUCAGCUUGUUGGUGGGGUAGUGGCUUACCAAGGCUUUGACGGGUAGCCGGCCUGAGAGGGUGACCGGCCACAUUGGGACUGAGAUACGGCCCAGACUCCUACGGGAGGCAGCAGUGGGGAAUAUUGCACAAUGGGGGGGAGCCUGAUGCAGCAACGCCGCGUGCGGGAUAACGGCCUUCGGGUUGUAAACCGCUUUCGCCUGUGACGAAGCGGGAGUGACGGUAAUGGGUAAAGAAGCACCGGCUAACUACGUG